UACGUAGGGGGCAAGCGUUGUCCGGAUUUAUUGGGCGUAAAGAGCGUGUAGGCGGCCGUACAGGUCAGCUGUGAAAACUCGAGGCUCAACCUCGAGACGUCGGUUGAAACCGUACGGCUAGAGUCCGGAAGAGGAGAGUGGAAUUCCCGGUGUAGCGGUGAAAUGCGCAGAUAUCGGGAAGAACACCCGUGGCGAAGGCGGCUCUCUGGGACGGUACUGACGCUGAGACGCAAAAGCGUGGGGAGCGAACAGG
rnacentral:rRNA from 1 species